GCAGGGGUAGCCAAGCUGGCCAAAGAAACUGCGUCGACCUAAGGCGGUGGACUCAAGAUCCACUCUCGAAAUGAGCGAAGAUACGAGUAACACUCCGAAUUCACCACGAGAAGGAGUUCGGGGGUUCGAAUCCCUCCCCCUGCACCA
rnacentral:tRNA from 1 species